AAUAUUCACAAUGGUCGACAGCAUUCACCAGCCAUGUCGGUUGAAGGAGGACGCCCUUGUGGUUUGUAAAUUUUUGAUCAUGGGAAGAAAAGCAGGUAAUGCGUAAUCUAUGGUGGUUCCAUCAGAAUAAGGAUCGGCUAAUUUCGUUCCAGCAGCCCCGGUAAAAUACGGAUCCAAGCGUUAUUCGGAAUUAUUGGGUUUAAAGGGUGCGUAGGCGGUUAUAUAAGUCAGAAGUGAAAUCCCCAAGCUCAACUUCGGAAAUGCAUUCAAAACUGUAGAGCUAGAGUACAUAAGAGGCAGGGGGAAUGCAUUGUGGGCGGGGGAAAUCGUUAGAUUUUUGACAGAACUCCGAUAGGGAAGGCAGCUCGCCAGACUGCACCUGACGUUUAGUCAGGAAAGCGUGGGGAGCAACAGACAUUGAUUCCCGGCAGUCACACCCUU
rnacentral:rRNA from 1 species